GGUGGUAUAGUUCAGUGGUGGCGCACAUGCUUAGCGUGCAUGAGGUCCUGGGUUCAAUCCUUAGCACCUCCA
rnacentral:tRNA from 1 species